AGCGGGCUGGAGUUGAGCAGAGUUCAGAGUUCUCCUAGCUAGGGGCAUACUCUGGAGUACCCAAAUCCAACAGUCCUGACAGAGGAAAGCAGCUUCCUGUAUAGUUGACCUGGAAGGUCAACUUCUUGUCAGAGUUUUACAUGAAUUAUUUUUAUGGUGGAAAUAGAUGUAAAUGUUCCACCAAAAAUGAUUUUUAUCAGGAACCGUCACAGCCACCUCAACCUUCAGCAACCACCACUGUUCAAGGCAACAUCCUUCAGCAGCAGAAAGAUUGACUCGCUGUAGGCUCAGACAUGGGGCCUCACUAUGUUUCACAGGCUGGUCUAAAACUCCUGAGCUCCAGGGAUCUGCCUGCCUCCGCUUCCCAAAGUGGUGGGAUUGUAGGCAUAAGCCAUCAUGCCUGGCCUGCUGUGAGUUUUAAAUAAAAAUGUAAAUGCUCUUCUCCA
rnacentral:sRNA from 1 species